GACGAACGCUGGCGGCGUGCUUAACACAUGCAAGUCGAACGGAAAGGCCCUGCUUUUGUGGGGUGCUCGAGUGGCGAACGGGUGAGUAACACGUGAGUAACCUGCCCUUGACUUUGGGAUAACUGCAGGAAACUGGGGCUAAUACCGGAUAGGAGCUCCUGCUGCAUGGUGGGGGUUGGAAAGUUUCGGCGGUUGGGGAUGGACACGCGGCUUAUCAGCUUGUUGGUGGGGUAGUGGCUUACCAAGGCUUUGACGGGUAGCCGGCCUGAGAGGGUGACCGGCCACAUUGGGACUGAGAUACGGCCCAGACUCCUACGGGAGGCAGCAGUGGGGAAUAUUGCACAAUGGGCGGGAGCCUGAUGCAGCAACGCCGCGUGCGGGAUGACGGCCUUCGGGUUGUAAACCGCUUUCGCCUGUGACGAAGCGUGAGUGACGGUAAUGGGUAAAGAAGCACCGGCUAACUACGUG
rnacentral:rRNA from 1 species